rnacentral:rRNA from 1 species
UACGUAGGGGGCAAGCGUUGUCCGGAUUCAUUGGGCGUAAAGAGCUCGUAGGCGGCUUGGCAAGUCGGGUGUGAAAACUCCAGGCUCAACCUGGAGACGCCACCCGAUACUGCUAUGGCUUGAGUCCGGUAGGGGACCACGGAAUUCCUGGUGUAGCGGUGAAAUGCGCAGAUAUCAGGAGGAACACCGGUGGCGAAGGCGGGUCUCUGGGCCGAUACUGACGCUGAGGAGCGAAAGCGUGGGGAGCGAACAGG